GUAACGACGUGGGUAACCGGUACGCCUCCAUACAAGGGGGAGGGUAAACAAGUUAGAAAUAGACUGCUAAUACCGCAUAAGAACCACCAGCGCCGCAUGGUGGCAGGGGCGAAAAACUCCGGUGGUAUGAGAUGGACCCGCGUCUGAUUAGGUAGUUGGUGGGGUAACGGCCUACCAAGCCGACGAUCAGUAGCCGACCUGAGAGGGUGACCGGCCACAUUGGGACUGAGACACGGCCCAA
rnacentral:rRNA from 1 species